AGUAUAUCCAUAUUUUGCUCCGGUCUUUUCCAGAUGCAGAGAUACUUCUGAAUUCCAGCAGCUGCCUACGUGGAACCAGGGCAAAGGGUUUCUCAAGCACAAAUCAUUAACACAGAGUGUUUGUUAAUACUACCACUGGAGGAAGCUUUCACAAGGCUACUUAAAACUACGUAAUCCUUUUAUGAAUAUUUCUGAAAGACCUGGAAAAUUUGACCACCAGGGAAAGUGAAUCCUACUGGCUUGUAGAAUAUUCCAGACCUGCCAGGUGAUUGAUCUAUUAUGCUAGUGGGAAGAGGCAGAGGCUCCCUCUUCUGGUGCCUCUGGAUAGAAGGAAACCCUAUAAAGAUAGCGAGGAGGGGCACCUUUUCUUCAUCUAGCCACUCCUGAUCC
rnacentral:lncRNA from 1 species